AUUGAACGCUGGCGGCAGGCCUAAAACAUGCACGUCGAGCGAGCGGCAGACGGGUGAGUAAUGUAUGGGGACUGCCCGAUAGAGGGGGAUAACUACUGGAAACGGUGGCUAAUACCGCAUACUAUCGGAUGACCCAUAUGGGAUUAGCUAGUAGGUGGGGUAAAGGCUCACCUAGGCGACGAUCUCUAGCUGGUCUGAGAGGAUGAAUGGCCACACGGUGACGCAGACACGGCCCAAAUUCCUAAGGAGGCAUCAGUGGGGAAUAUUGCACAAUGGGCGCAAGCCGGAUGCAGCCAUGCCGCUUGUAUGACGAAGGCCUUAGGGUUGUAAAGUACUUUCAGCGGGGAGGAGUUACCCGCAGAAGAAGCACCGGCUAACUCCGGGCCAGCAGCCGCGGUAAUAC
rnacentral:rRNA from 1 species